UUUUGACCGUGCAAAGGUAGCGCAAUCACUUGUCUUUUAAAUAGAGACCUGUAUGAAUGGCCAAACGAGGGCUUAACUGUCUCCCCCUUCAAGUCAGUGAAAUUGAUCUAUCCGUGCAGAAGCGGGUAUAAUAAUACAAGACGAGAAGACCCUUUGGAGCUUAAGGUACAAAAUUCAGCCACGUUAAACAACUCCACAAAAAGCAAAAACUUAGUGGAAUAUGAAGUUUUACCUUCGGUUGGGGCGACCGCGGAGGAAAAUAUAGCCUCCAAGUGGAAUGGGGUAAACCCCUAAAACCAUGAGAAACAUCUCUAAGCCGCAGAACAUCUGACCAAAAAUGAUCCGGCCAAACAGCCGAUCAACGAAACCAAGUUGACCCUAGGGAUAACAGCGCAAUCCUCUCCCAGAGUCCAUAUCGAACAAAGGG
rnacentral:rRNA from 1 species